rnacentral:rRNA from 1 species
AACGUAGGACACAAGGCGUUAUCCGGAGUUACUUGGGCGUAAAGGGCGUGUAGGCGGAUCGGUAAGUCUACCUCUGGAAAGCUCCUGGCUAAACUGGGAGAGGCGAGUGGAGACUGUCGGUCUAGAGUGAGGAAGAGGAAAAGUGGAAUUCCGCGUGUAGUGGUGAAAUGCGUAGAGAUGCGGAGGAACACCAGUGGCGAAAGCGGCUUCUGGUCCUUAACUGACGACUGAGG